GUUGAAGAGGCUCAAAAGUGAGAGGAGAGGCAUAGCUGUCUCCUGGCUCUGACAGCUGCAGUUCAGCCUCCCACACAUCCCAUCUCUGCCAGCCUGCUCCAACAACCCCAGAGUGUCAGGAAAGCUGUGACAUUACCCUUGAGAAGAAAAUAACAACCCCUACGAACAGAGUCCAGCAGAAGAACUUCUCAGAAGUUGUCUAAGGGCCCAUUGGUGGAGGAAAGAAGCCUGAAACAAUUGAGGUACUGUAAAAACAUAAAUUAAAAUUUGUUCUGAAAGCAGAAUGCUACUGUAAUUGUCUUCAU
rnacentral:lncRNA from 1 species